CUUAUCCAGAGCGGCAGAGGGACAGGCCCGAUGAAGCCCGGCAACCGGUCGGCGCGCCCGACGAGGUGCCAAUUCCUGCGGAUGGCGACAUCCGAAAGAUGAGG
rnacentral:ncRNA from 1 species